GGAGCUGCUUUGCAUUUCCUAAAAUUUCUCAUGGGAUUCAGAGAGAUUGAGUAGAGUGUGAGACUGGGUGAGGAAUGCUUCAGAAAGAAAUAUUCCAGAUUGGAUCUGGGGAGGAGUCAGAGUAUUAUUUGCUUCUUUCCCUGUUGGAAUUUUAAUAAGGAACAAGUUUGGAGAUGAAGAAGAAUGGGUGCUGGGCUGAGAAAGGACUCACAGAUCUAUCAAGGAAAGAUUUCAAAUCAGGGAGAGUCUCCUUAUCAAAAACUUCUAUCCUACAUGUGUGCUUGCUUUUGCAUAGGUCUAAAAUUUUCCAUAAUAAAAAGUCUUCAAAAUCUAUACUUUGCCUAAAAUUCAAGGGUAUUAGAGAAGCAAUCAUGCGAUCAAGGGCAAAGGCUUAAUCAGUAAAUGGGUACUGGUGGGCAUAGGCAUCAGGGAAGAAAAAUAUAUUAAUCAGAUGAUUUUAUGUGGGAAGUGUUGAUCGAGUGCUUGAUGGUUGAGGAACUAACAUCGUUUAAAUUGCAAUCAUCUGUUGUUAAGAAAAGGAAUAAUAAUCUUUGGCACAUGACUAUUUUUAGUGUUUCUCUGUGUGUUUUAACAAAAUUAAAACAAAAUUGGUAUAUGGUGAUAUGUGUCUUUAACCAUGUGAGAUUGUGUUGAAAUGAUUACUUUUGAACUUCUGAAAGUAAGCCAGGAACUCUAAGUGGGUUAUUGUUACAUAAAAAUCACAUCAUAGCCUCAGUUCCCUGAAGAGUUUUGUUAAACUCUUUUCUGAAGACAAAAACCAAGAUUUAAAUAGCUUUUAGCUGAUAAAGUGGGAGUUAUUUGGACAUUGAGAUGUGUGAUCACUUAAAAAAAUUAACCAACUUUACAUAUGUGUCUAUGUGUAUAGGAUUGUAUUCUAGAUAGCUUCCAUGGCAGGCACCUUUUAAAUUUUCAGUCUUUCACGAUUGUUUUUUGACUGCAUAGAUAAAGUUAUUUGCAACCAGCACAGUCUGGGCACUCACCGUUUUCAUGCUCAAGACAAAACAUAUCUGUGGAGAUGAGGAUGCUCUUUCAAAACAGGAGAUGAUACCCAAUUCCAGCAGUUUCUCCUGAAGCCAGUACAGUUUCUCCUGACCAUUUUGGUUGGAGCCCAAAUAUAUCUGACUCAUAGUUUGGUAUUUAAUUCUGGUGAUUUUCCUCAUUUUUCAUAAUUUACCUACUGCUGUCAAGAACAAUCAUUGUCUUCCCCAAGAAACUAGAAAAUACCCCAUUAAGCCAAUGGAUUUAUAAAAGGUAGACUCCAGUGAUUCAGUUCAUUUGGGUAGAUUCAUCGAAUGCUUCCUAAAUAUGAGACAUAGUGGAAAAUGUUUUCAGGGAUUCAGAGAGAACCAAACUUGACCCAAAGAAAUUUGUAGUAAAAUUUGGACAAACAGGAAAAAAAAUGUACAUAGAUAAAAUUAUUUUCUGCUCUUAAGAGGAUAUAGUCUAUAAGACACAAAACCCCUGUACUAAAACUUCUAUUGAAGAAACACAUGAUUGCACCAAAACCGACUGUAAGAGGUUAUAUAGAAUAAUUGGAAAUGAGUGUUUUUCUACCAUUUUCUAUGCUUCAUCAGACAACAGAUACUGCCAAAGACAGACAUUUUUUUAAUAACUUUCUCCAGAGAAAGCAAGGUUGUUGUAUUAACCUCACACAUCCCUUUACUUUAGAAAUGAAUAUAUCCUAGACUAAAACUUUUUACUCAAUCAGUCCACUGGAUUCUUGAGGAAGAGCACGCAAGUGUUGGGCCAUUUGGACUUGGGGUUGUCAUGUGAAGCCUCAAACUGACAGAAGAAGUUGAAGUUACCCUGUCUUUAGGGACUAAAAUGUCAUGUAUUCUUAUUAUUUUUGGUAAUUUUGGAGGAGAUUGUCAAGAGGAGACUUCAGGUUGAUUCAUGAACUGGCUCUGGACAAUUGAAGACACCUCACACCCUCCCUGUCCUUGGAAUGUCUGUUCCCAUAGCUGGAGUUGCUUUCAAGGACGCAUGUAGCCUUGAGAGAACCAUGUGGUAUUGAGACUACCUGGACAUGACUGAACCCUAUUAAGGCUUCUGCAUAAACUUUAAGUUUCCGGGGAGUGGGUAUGAAAUUCUACUCACCUUUUGGCACGGCAAACAAGCUUCAAAUAUAAGCUUCCUUGCAUACUCUAGCUGCUGCCUAAGCAUCUGGAAUGGCAGCCUCUUUCUUUGGUUUAUCCCUAUUCUCUGUUUAUGGGAGGCCAGUUUGUGAACCAACAGUUUACACACAAUUUGAAUUUUAGCAUUCAUUUGAGCUUCUUCUUUGGAAGAAUUUGCUACUUUUAGGAUCUUAAUAAGAUGUGGGCUAAGGCCCUGUUGACUUCCAACUGAACUUUCAGAAAAGAAAGCAAAUAGUAAAAACGUUAUGUAUCAAAAUCUAAAUGAAAUUUUGGAAUUCAUCUAUGUCUAUGUCUGUUUUAUACCAAAUGCGAAUACAUGAAUUACAUAGUCAUGUAUUCAUAUUUGGUAUAAAACUUACAACCAUGGGCAUUUUUAAACCAUGGGAUUGCCCUUUGUAUAUAGAUUUCUGUUACUGAGUCCAAACUCAUACUGCUCACUGCAUGCCAGUCCAUAAAUAAAGAGAAGAAGUAUUGGAGUGAGGAAUGGUGACUUUAUUUGGAAAGACAGCAGUCCAAGAAAAUGGUGGACUUAUGCCCCAAAGAACCCAUCUUUCUUGAGUUAGAAUUCAGGCUUCUUUUAUCCUAAAAAGGGAGGAGGAGAUGUGGUUAGUUGUUGCAAAUGUCUCUGUGUGGGAAUCUUUUGUUCUAGCAGGUCAAAUCACAAUGUUUCUGUAAACUUCCAGCAAGACAAAACUAUUCUCUAUUAUGCCACUUUUUAUCUCUAAAUGAAUGGAAAUAUGUUACACCUUUAAAGGUCAGAGCCUUGAGAAUGGGCUGUCCUGCAUAUUUCAGGUGAUAGGCAAAAUUCUUGUAGCAAAAACAACAGACUACAGAAGUUACAGUAAAAGAAACAGAUCCAACAUAGAGUCAGAUUUGUUCUUCUCUGUUCCGUUUCCAAUGAAGCACAAAGUUUGUUGGGAAAAAAUAUGCCCUCUGGAUCUUUCAUUUUUAAUAUAACAAUAACAUUAUACUCAAUAUGCCGGAAGGCAGAACUCUUCCAUCGACUCUUUCGGGUGGCCAGUAACACCUAGUAAUGAGAGUGUGGAAGCCUGGUUUAUUGCCAUGGCCUCAUUGGGACGAAGUAUGAUUCUCCAUAUCCCAGUUCAACGACUUUGGACUCGACCAUAAGUUGCAAAGGCUUUGCAUGUGUUUGCAUGAUCGGGUUUUCCUUUUUGUACUUUGAUGAUCCUCAGGGAGGACAAGAUGCCUCAUGCAGCCACUGCUGCUUCAGCCUGAGUCUCAGUAUGAGAAAUGAGGACCACAUGCUCCUGACAAUUGCUGAUCCACCUACAGUUGAUCCUGCAGUCUGGAGCCUAUAGUCCUACCCGUCUUGGCCCUGGAACAGCCCCUCUGCUGCUGAUGGGUAUGAGAAAAAAUGAUUGUUGCUUCAAGUCUAUGAGUGUUAGGGUGCUUUGUUAUUCAGCAUUGUUGUGUGAAUAGCUGACUAAUACAGAUGACCUCCUGAGAUUUUUUUCUAACUCUAUAAAGACAUAUUGACUAUGAAAAUUUCUCAAGUUAUUCCGUUCCAUAAGUGUAUCCAACAGUACUUUGCAAUGUAAUGUGGAUAUUUAGUGCUUUCAACUAAAUGACUUUUCUCUGCAUUGGAAGAACUGGAUCAGUUAAAUAAAUAGAAGUGUGUUUUGAGGGAAUUCUAGAUAUAAUAGGUAUUAAGUGCUGUCUAGUAUAAAGGUAUAAAGGCUGACUAUAUAUUGUGCACUUGGAAUUUGGGAAUUUGAUACUUAUAGGCAUUCCGAGACAUUGUAGAAAGUGAAUUUUGUGCGAAACUCAAAGUGUUCAGAAGUGCUAUGUUGUUUUAAACAGUUCUUAAGUUUGAGCAAACUUCACUCAUAAGCUUUCUAAUUUUCUAAGUAGAAAAAAAAUUUUCAUAUCACAAAGAAUGCAAGUGUGAGGAGCAGUUAGUUCCAAACUGCCUGCUGCUUUCCAGCUAGGAUUGUGUGCAGUUUAUGUCAAAACACUUCAGCAAAGGAAUACAAAUACAGACUAAUGUUUGACUUCUUUUGUUGUGUUGAACUGGAGCCAGCAAAAGUAUUUAUAUAUAAAUCCACUUGUGAAAUGCAUAACCCUUUCAAUGUGACUUAUAUGUUUAAGGCUUAAAGAGAAUUUGGGUUGAUUGACAGAAGCUACCGCUCUUAUAAUGUCAAAAUGUAUGACUGCUUAUGUGGAAACUUUUAAAUUCACUCUUUUUGCUGAGGGAUGUUUACCUUCUGAUUAAGUGCUACUGCAUUAGCACUGAACACUUACUUGCCCUACUAUGUGUAUUGUAAAGCAUAAGCCUUCAAUAUUCACACCUUCCUUCUUCUCUUUAAAAACCCAAGGGAAACAAAUCCCCCCAAACCCCAAGUAUAUGCCUAAAAUAUCUACUUAGACAUUGCCUGAGGGAAAAAUAGAUGGCUUUGCUGUUUUAAACACUUGAACAUAAUGUAGGUAUAAAAGAGAGUCCUGUCAUAUGGAGUCAAAUAUUUCCCUCCUCUCUUGAACAGUAAUAUUCUGCAAAACUGUUUUCUUCUUAGUUCUUAGUGAGGAACUAAGACAUGGCUUUUGAAUCUAUGAUUUAGAUGAGCUUCUGUGGAUGAACGAAUAUAAAAAAGCACAGGCACAUCAGAUGUCUGAGACACCAUGGAGGAAUGUCAUGUCUCCAUUUUUCAAAAGCUCCAUCCUCCCAUUUUGUUGAACUUUAGUACCUUGUUUAAAUUUUUAUUGCAUUCCCACAUAGUGUUAUGCAUAAGUAUAUAAGAAAUGCCACAACAGAUUAGGUCAAUGGUCCAUCUUGCCUGCCUCUGAGGGAUGUUUGGUAGGGAGAUAAGGUUGUCUUUCUUGACAUCACUCUGAAAACAUUAGGGAUCCACUGCACACAUUCCUCACACCCCUUUAAUAUUCCAUUAUCGAGCCAGCAUUUGAGAAUUUUCCUAAACCUUUUAAAACUUAUUUAUAGUUUCACCCUUUGUUAUUCUUUUGGGAACAUAAGAUCACUGCAUAAUUUGUAUUUAAAAAAAUGGCCUCCUCCAAGUUUUAAGAGUUGGUUCCUGAGGUCUAGAAUUUUGAAACUGGAUGAAUAAGUUCCUGAUUAGAAAACCCACCUCUUCACAAUUUCAUAGAAUUUAGUUACCUGGUAGGCUGCUCCUAAAGUUUUUCCUAAUGAUCCACAAAUCCUGGUGUCCACACCCUUAUGCCCUUCCCUAUGCCUGAACUUGACCAAGUGACUUGCUCCUAAUGUAUAGAAUAUGCCAUGAGUGAUGACAUAUCAAUUUCAAGAUUAGGUUAUAAAAGUGUGACUUCCAUCUUUCUUGUGGACUCUGUGUCUUUCUGUGUGCUUGCUCUAAAGAAGUAAACUAUCAUGUCGUAAGCUGCUACAUGGGAAGGGGUCCACGUGACAACGACCCGAGGGCAACCUUUGGCCAACAGCUGGCAAGGAACUGAAGACCUCAGUCCAACAGCCCUUGAGAACCAGAUCCUGCCAACAAUAAUGUGGUGGGCGUGGAAGCUGAUUCUUCCUUUGCUGGACCUUCAGGUCACCUAGCCAACUUUGCUGACCUUGGAUAGACUUUUUCACAUCUCUGAGGGCUCGACUGGGACUGACCCACAGACUCAAUUGUGUUCCAUGUGAUAUGAUCCAGCAAGCUAUCCCAGCAUACAUGGCAGCAUCAUCAUCCCAAGAAAACAGGCAGAAGCAGGGCCUCUUGGGUCCUAGGCUUAGGACUGACACAUCUGUUACUCCCACCAUGUUCUAUUGGCUAAAGAAGAAGUGUUCCUCUGACAGACAGUCUGGAACAAAGUGUACUCACACACAUACAAUGAGUCAAGAAUUGGAUUGUGAAACACGAGACCCCAAACACCCCCAGAGCCUGUAAGCUUUCCUGCGGUGCUGAUGCCUGAGGCCAAGGGCUGCUGGCUUGGACUGUCUCUCCUCUCACCACUUCUGGGCUCUGAUGAGAUGCCAGUGACAUGCCAAUCAGGCUUCACAAGCAGUUGCUGAAGGGGCCAGAAGGAUGAUGCUCCAAGAAGUGCAGAGGGGUUGCCUCCCUUUGAAGCAAACUUUGAACCAUGGAGAGGGAGGCCGGACAGAAGUGAGCAGAUAAGUUCCCCCUUUUCCUUCCCUCUAAUGGGCUUACUGAGGAUGGUUUCUCUGCAAAUCCUGUCUGAAUACUUCCCCUGUCUUCCAGACAUCCAGCAGUGUCUCUUCCAAGGCUUGUCUUGAGCUCUGGCCCACGCAUGCGGUAAUAUACUGUAUGGGAUUGCUUCUAGCCUUCCCUACCUCACACCCCUUUGCCUCCGAUCCCGGGACUAUACCUUCCAAAUAAAGCAUCAACACUUAAUCUUAGACUGUCUUUUAGGAGACUCAGAUGGAGAUCUUCAUUUUGUUCUCUUAGCGUUGUGUUUAGGAUAUCCAAGUUCAGUAUUCACUGCUGGAGUCCCUUGAAAGAUUUUAUCAGAAACAUGGCAAAGUGUAAUCCAGAAGAUUAGACUCACAGAGCCAAAUCUGGGCUUUGCCAUAGUGGGAGAGCCUUCAUUAUGAUGCUGCUCCUUGUUGGCCAUCUUGGGCCAUAUGAAUGAAUUAAUUAUCAAUUAAUUUAUUUGCUUUCAUGUAUAUGAUUCACACAUGGUUCAAAAAUUCAAAUAGUUAGAAUUCUUCUUAUGGCUCAGUGGGUUAAGAACCUGACAUAGUGUCCAUGAGGAUGAGGGUUUGAUCCCUGGCUUGCUCAGAGGGUUUGAUCCCUGGCUUGCUCCAGUGUUGCCAUGAGCUGUAGCGUAGGUUGAAGAUGCAGCUCAGAUCCAGUGUAAAAAGAAAAAAAAAAAAA
ensembl:lncRNA